CUACGGGGGCAGCAGUGAGGAAUAUUGCACAAUGGGGGGAACCCUGAUGCAGCAACGCCGCGUGGAGGAUGACGCAUUUCGGUGUGUAAACUCCUUUUAUAUGUCAAGAAAAUGACGGUAGCAUAUGAAUAAGCGCCGGCUAACUCCGUGCCAGCAGCCGCGGUAAUACGGAGGGCGCAAGCGUUACUCGGAAUCACUGGGCGUAAAGGACGCGUAGGCGGGUUGAAAAGUCAGGUGUGAAAGCCUACAGCUUAACUGUAGAACUGCACUUGAAACUCUCAAUCUAGAGUAUGGGAGGGGCAGAUGGAAUUAGUGGUGUAGGGGUAAAAUCCGUAGAUAUCACUAGGAAUACCUAAAGCGAAGGCGAUCUGCUGGAAUAUUACUGACGCUAAGGCGUGAAAGCGUGGGGAGCAAACAGGAUUAGAUACCCCCGUAGUC
rnacentral:rRNA from 1 species